rnacentral:lncRNA from 1 species
UAUCAGACUUGUUAGAACAACCUUGUGACAAGUCUGAUAAUGCCAUCAAGCUUGUUACAAGUUGUUAACAGCUUGUUCCAAACAUGUUACAACAACUGGGAACAAGCAGUGCGAAGACAACUUGUCGACAGCUUGUGAACAGAUUUGUAACAACUUGUAACAACUUGUGCGUUUUUACGAGUGUACAAUAAUGAGUCAAUCAUUGACAUUUAGAAAAAACAUAUUCUGGUGUACAUAGGUUAUGAACACCAGGUUAAGGUUUGUACGCUUAUGAAAAUGUUCAUAAUUAUAUGGAUAACCUCAAACUAAGAUCGUUUUCCCAUCCUCAGAUGAUAAUUAAAAGUUGAUUUCCAACUCGUUUGCUUUACUCGUCCAUUGGCUCGUGAACGCUCAUGUCUUCGAGUUGUAUAUAAUCAGUUGUGAUAGUUUGUUCCUCUUGUGGUUCGGCAGGACCAUUUACGAUCGCACCCGCAAAACGCCUUCGUUUGAAACAACCACAACAGGCCAUCACACAAACAACUACAGCGACAACGGAUAACACCGAAGUGACAACAAUUAUGAGCAACGCGGCGAUAGAGAACUUGUCUUUAUCCUUGCAAUUGUUCGGGUAAUGACACCGACCUGAAGAGUAAACAUAUAUAUACAUUUUAAAACAUCCUGGUUCAAAUUCUCCAGGUUAGGCUACACACGUAUACUGAUCUCACAACUUGUCAACAAGUUGUAACAAUGUUGUUAUUUUAUCAACAUUGCUAUACAAGCUUGUCAUUCCCAACUUGUUGACAAGUUGUUGGAACAUGCAACGUGUAACAAGUCUGUUAAGCUCAACCACCUUGUAGCAGUUGCCACAACAAGCCGUAGACAACUUGUCAACAAGAGUAAAUAUAUACAUUUUAAAAACAUCCUGGUUCAAAUUUUCCAGGUUUGCAGCAAGCUUGUCAACAAGUUGUAACAAUGUUGUUAUAUCAAAUUGCUACAAGAUUGUAACUCACAACUUGUUGACAAGUUGUUGAAUUGCAGGACGAUAUAACAAGUUGUUGAAACAACUUGUAACAAGUCUGUUGAGCUUGACCACCUUGUAGCAAGUUUUCAGCAAGUUGUAGACAACCUGUCAACAAGCUGGGAACAAACAGUGCAAACACAUGGUCACAACUUGUCAACAAGAUGUGUUCGCAACAGGCUUGUAGCAAGCUUGUCAACAAGUUGUAACAAUAUUGUUAUUUUAUCAAGUUGCUAUAAGCUUGUCACUCCCAACUUGUUGACAAGUUGUUGAAUUGCAGGACGAUAUAGCAAGUUGUUGGAGCAACUUGUAACAAGUCUGUUGAGCUCAACCACCUUGUUGCAAGUUGUCAACAAGCCGUAUAGACAACUUGUCGACAAGCUGGGAACAAGCAUGCAGUGCGAACACAUCCUAUUGACAAGUUGUCGGAUAGCAUUGCUACAAGUCGCUGCAGGUUUGUUACAACUUGUAUAGGCUACGUUAUUACUUGUGUACUACACGCGUAAAAACGCAUAGCUUGUAACAAGUCUGCAAACAAGUUGUUACAAGUCUGUUUACAAGCUGUCAACAAGUUGUGUUCGCACUGCUUGUUCCCAGUUUGUUGUAACAAGUUUGGAACAAGCUGUUAACAACUUGUAACAAGCUUGAUGGCAUUAUCAGUCUUGUUACAAGACUGUGCCAACAAGUUUGUUACAG